ACCUCACAUAGGCAUUUUAUCAACUCUCAGCAUCACAAGACAACUCUGGGUCUCAUGUCAUGGGACCUCCCAGAGAGAAGUCAGCACCCACUGAGAGAACAUACAUCCCUUGUGGACCUGGAAGAACUUGAUGAAGUCCAGUGGACAGCACGUCUAAGACACUAUGGUAGAUGCCAGGACAAAGAGCAGAGAAUCUGGAAUAGAAAUACAAGUAGAGAGAGAGCACACGAGCAGGGGGAGC